rnacentral:rRNA from 1 species
GACGAACGCUGGCGGCGUGCUUAACACAUGCAAGUCGAACGGAAAGGCCCUGCUUUUGUGGGGUGCUCGAGUGGCGAACGGGUGAGUAACACGUGAGUAACCUGCCCCUGACUUUGGGAUAACUUCAGGAAACUGGGGCUAAUACCGGAUAGGAGCUCCUGCUGCAUGGUGGGGGUUGGAAAGUUUCGGCGGUUGGGGAUGGACUCGCGGCUUAUCAGCUUGUUGGUGGGGUAGUGGCUUACCAAGGCUUCGACGGGUAGCCGGCCUGGGAGGGUGACCGGCCACAUUGGGACUAAGAUACGGCCCAGACUCCUACGGGAGGCAGCAGUGGGGAAUAUUGCACAAUGGGCGGAAGCCUGAUGCAGCGACGCCGCGUGCGGGAUGACGGCCUUCGGGUUGUAAACCGCUUUCGCCUGUGACGAAGCGUGAGUGACGGUAAUGGGUAAAGAAGCACCGGCUAACUACGUG